rnacentral:sRNA from 1 species
AGCGGGCCACCAGGCUGGCGGAGCUGCAGGAGCAGACAGCUGAAGAAAGGCGGCAAGCAGGCAUCUGCCUCCUACGACUCGGAGGAAGAGGAGGAGGGCCUGCCCAUGAGCUACGAUGAAAAGCGCCAGCUUAGCCUGGACAUCAACCGGCUGCCCGGGGAGAAGCUGGGUCGGGUAGUGCACAUCAUCCAAUCUCGGGAGCCCUCUCUCAGGGACUCCAACCCCGACGAGAUAGAAAUUGACUUUGAGACUCUGAAACCCACCACUUUGCGGGAACUGGAGAGAUAUGUCAAGUCUUGUUUACAGAAAAAGCAAAGGAAACCGUUCUCAGCAAGCGGGAAGAAACAGGCAGCCAAGUCGAAAGAGGAGCUAGCUCAGGAAAAGAAGAAGGAGCUGGAAAAGCGUCUGCAGGAUGUCAGCGGGCAGCUGAGCAGCAGCAAGAAGCCCGCCCGGAAAGAGAAGCCCGGCUCAGCACCCUCAGGGGGCCCGUCCAGGCUCAGCAGCAGCAGCUCCUCCGAGUCUGGGAGCAGCAGCUCCAGCGGGUCCAGCUCCGACAGCAGUGACUCAGAAUGAACUGGCUUCGGACAGAACAGGACAGAUGGAUGUCGCACACGCCGAGACUCUGCCGUACCCCUCUGUGGUUCAUAUUACUACUUCUGUUCCAUGGUGUGCAGGUCUGCUUCUUAAUUCAGUGUUAUGAUAUCUUCCAGUUUUUGCUUUCAUAGGUCAGAGAUCUAUCUUGUGUGUGCGUUAGACUUGAU